rnacentral:rRNA from 1 species
UGAGUGGCGGACGGGUGAGUAACGCGUGGGCAACCUGGCCUGUACAGGGGGAUAACACUUAGAAAUAGGUGCUAAUACCGCAUAACGGGGGAAGCCGCAUGGCUUUUCCCUGAAAACUCCGGUGGUACAGGAUGGGCCCGCGUCUGAUUAGUUAGUUGGCAGGGUAACGGCCUACCAAGACAACGAUCAGCAGCCGGCUUGAGAGAGUGGACGGCCACAUUGGGACUGAGACACGGCCCAAACUCCUACGGAAGGCAGCAG